rnacentral:rRNA from 1 species
UACCGUGAGGGAAAGGCGAAAAGAACCCCGGCGAGGGGAGUGAAAAAGAACCUGAAACCGUGUACGUACAAGCAGUGGGAGCACCCUUUGGGGUGUGACUGCGUACCUUUUGUAUAAUGGGUCAGCGACUUAUAUUCUGUAGCAAGGUUAACCAUAUAGGGGAGCCGGAGGGAAACCGAGUCUUAACCGGGCGUUAAGUUGCAGGGUAUAGACCCGAAACCCGGUGAUCUAGCCAUGGGCAGGUUGAAGGUUGGGUAACACUAACUGGAGGACCGAACCGACUAAUGUUGAAAAAUUAGCGGAUGACCUGUGGCUGGGGGUGAAAGGCCAAUCAAACCGGGAGAUAGCUGGUUCUCCCCGAAAGCUAUUUAGGUAGCGCCUCGUGAAUUCAUCUCCGGGGGUAGAGCACUGUUUCGGCUAGGGGGCCAUCCCGGCUUACCAACCCGAUGCAAACUGCGAAUACCGGAGAAUGUUAUCACGGGAGACACACGGCGGGUGCUAACGUCCGUCGUGAAGAGGGAAACAACCCAGACCGCCAGCUAAGGUCCCAAAGUCAUGGUUAAGUGGGAAACGAUGUGGGAAGGCCCAGACAGCCAGGAUGUUGGCUUAGAAGCAGCCAUCAUUUAAAGAAAGCGUAAUAGCUCACUGGUCGAGUCGGCCUGCGCGGAAGAUGUAACGGGGCUAAACCAUGCACCGAAGCUGCGGCAGCGACGCU